rnacentral:snoRNA from 13 species
GCCACAUGAUGAUAUCAAGGCUGUUGUGAUUCAGUUGGUUUGGCUAAGUCCAAGGAUCUCUGACCUAUUAAGGUCUGUAAUCUUGGUGGGCAAUACAGAGUUAUGUAUGUUCACUGUAAGGGCAGACCAACAAGAACUUUUUCCUACUUUUGAGCUACCUCUUUUUAAUAGGGGUGUUCUUCCAGUUGCCAGGAAGAAACAGUGGUAACUGGAGUCAAAGAGUAGGAACAGGGCAUGUUCAAGGUAUGGUCAAGGGUUCUAAAGGACUUAGCUUAUGUUAUGGCCACUGAGAGAUGAAACACAGAUCUUUGGUAAUCUGAUGGCU